UCCCUGGUGGUCCAGUGGUUAAGACUCUGAGCUUCCACUGCAGGGGAAGCAGGUUCAAUCCCUGGUCAGGGAA
rnacentral:tRNA from 1 species